rnacentral:sRNA from 1 species
CCGUGUGUGAAUGUGUAUUUGUGUGCACAUGGCCUGAGUGCCUGAGUGAGAGGUGUGUGUAACGUGUAUAUUUUGCAUGUGUGCUCUGGUGCAUUUUGAGCGUGAGUACAAGCAGCAGGAUUUGUGCCGGCGUGUGACUGUGCACACACUCGUAUUCACAUGUGAGGAUGCCUGUGGGGAAUGGUGAGCAUGUGUAUUGCUGGACAUGGAUGGAUUCUGCAUCUCUGCACCUCAGGGCAGACAUGUAGGUGUUUGCUUGUGUUUGCAGGAUGGUGUGGCAUGUGCUAGGUUUUUCACAUGUCUGAUUCUUGGGCAUGCCCUCUUCGUGUGUGUGUGUGUGUGUGUGUGUGUGUGUACUUGGCCUCUGCUAGGCCUAAAGAGCAGGUAUGUCCAGGAUCCAGAGCUGGGACUGGGGAAGGCAGGGCUGGCCAGGCCCGAGGCAGAGCUGUGUACACACACCCUUCACAUCACAGCUAGCAGAGGGAGGAGGGGCUGCUGUGGAGACAGUGGGUGAGCUCCCAGCCUUGGAUCUGAGCAAGAGCUGGAGCCUCCAUCUGGCGGGGGCUGGACCUACCGGGGCUAGAGCUCAUAACUCUGUUCCAGCAUCUUCCUCACGGCAAUUCUGGGCCUGCCCGAAGCCCUGAUCCCUGUGCAGCUGCUCUGGGUGAACCUGGUGACAGACGGCCUACCUGCCACAGCUCUGGGCUUCAACCCGCCAGACCUGGACAUCAUGGAGAAGCUGCCCCGGAGCCCCCGCGAAGCCCUCAUCAGUGGCUGGCUCUUCUUUCGAUACCUGGCUAUCGGAGUGUACGUAGGCCUGGCCACAGUGGCUGCCGCCACCUGGUGGUUCCUGUAUGAUGCCGAGGGACCUCACGUCAACUUCUACCAGCUGAGGAACUUCCUGAAGUGCUCCGAAGACAACCCGCUCUUUGCCGGCAUCGACUGUGAGGUGUUCGAGUCGCGUUUCCCCACCACCAUGGCAUUGUCCGUGCUCGUGACCAUUGAAAUGUGCAAUGCUCUCAACAGCGUCUCAGAGAACCAGUCGCUGCUGCGGAUGCCGCCCUGGAUGAACCCCUGGCUGCUGGCAGCUGUGGCCAUGUCCAUGGCCCUGCACUUCCUCAUCCUGCUCGUGCCGCCCCUGCCU